CUGUCAACAUGGCACAGAAAGCAAUAUUCAGAUUGCUCGUUUGGUUUCAAUGGAUGCACAUCAUCAUUGUUAUUGCAGUGCUGGUUGUAAUGAAUAUCAUUAUCCAUCAUUCAUGUUAAUACUCACAUAAAGAAUAAUUAGCCUUGUCAUUGUUUGAAAUUAUAAAAAAAAAUUACAUAAUGUUUUAAAACCAAAUUGUUGUCAAAACAUUUCGAGGGCAAUAGUUUAUAUUAAAAAAAGCAAAUGUUACAGUUUUUUAUUAUUUAACUGUAACUGUAAAUGUAAAGUUUCAUUUUAAAAAUGUUACAGUUGAGUGUGUAAUAAAGUUAAAAUAUCAUUUGUAAAGCAGAGGUGAUUUCCAGGCAUGUUUUCACUCUGCAGAUAUAACAACAGUCAACAGACUCUUCUAUUGGCUCCAGUUAGACCAACAUUGAUGCUUCAUAUGUUUGAUUCUAUGCAAACUCAGUGACCUUCCUUGUUACUCAGCUAUAAAAACUUCCCAUCAGGCUGUCAGUGGAGUUCACAGCACGUCAGUUUCAACAUAAACCAUGUUCUCUGUAGCUCUGCUGCUGCUGUUGGCAGCUGGAUGUGUGAAGUGUGAACAGUUGACACAGCCAGCCUCUGUGACUGUGCAGCCAGGUCAACGUCUGACCAUCACCUGUCAGGUCUCUUAUUCUCUGCAGCUACUACACAGCUUGGAUCAGACAGCCUGCAGGGAAAGGACUGGAGUGGAUUGGAAUGGUAGUUGUUGUAUCCACAGCAUAUUACAAAGAUUCACUGAAGAACAAGUUCAGUAUCACCUUAGACUCUUCCAGUAACACAGUGACUCUAAACGGACAGAAUGUGCAGCCUGAAGACUCUGCUGUGUAUUACUGUGCCCACUACACACAGUGAGAGACAAUAACAGCAGAGUCGUACAAAAACUACUUCCUCUAUUUACAACCACUGGGAGCACUCGUUGUUUCAGCAUCACUUGUCCUGCCUUUCUGACUGUAAUUAACAUAUACUUUAUUUUUCAUUACCAAAAUUCCUCUAUCCAGAUUCCACUGAAAUAAUAUUAUUUUAAAGAUAUUAAUAUAUGCACUACUGCUGUGUUUGACUGUAAUUGUCACGGGGGGAAGUUUGAUUUUAUUUAAGCAUGCUUUUACUUGGAAUUUGCUGUGUUUUUGUCUUAUUUAUUAUUGCAUGCUUUUAUUUUGAAGUGUGGUGUGUGUUUGUGUUACGUUGGUU
rnacentral:lncRNA from 15 species